rnacentral:rRNA from 1 species
UACGAAGGGUGCAAGCGUUACUCGGAAUUACUGGGCGUAAAGCGUGCGCAGGCGGUUAUGUAAGACAGGUGUGAAAUCCCCGGGCUUAACCUGGGAACUGCAUUUGUGACUGCAUAGCUAGAGUACGGUAGAGGGGAUGGAAUUCCGCGUGUAGCAGUGAAAUGCGUAGAUAUGCGGAGGAACACCGAUGGCGAAGGCAAUCCCCUGGACCUGUACUGACGCUCAUGCACGAAAGCGUGGGGAGCAAACAGG